rnacentral:rRNA from 1 species
GACGAACGCUGGCGGUGUGCCUAAUACAUGCAAGUAGAACGCUGAAGGAGGAGCUUGCUCUUCUGGAUGAGUUGCGAACGGGUGAGUAACGCGUAGGUAACCUGCCUGGUAGCGGGGGAUAACUAUUGGAAACGAUAGCUAAUACCGCAUAAGAGUAGAUGUUGCAUGACAUUUGCUUAAAAGGUGCAAUUGCAUCACUACCAGAUGGACCUGCGUUGUAUUAGCUAGUUGGUGGGGUAACGGCUCACCAAGGCGACGAUACAUAGCCGACCUGAGAGGGUGGUCGGCCAAACUGGGACUGAGACAACGCCCAGACUCCUACGGGAGGCAGCAGUAGGGAAUCUUCGGCAAUGGACGGAAGUCUGACCGAGCAACGCCGGGGGAGUGAAGAAGGGUUUCGGAUCGUAAAGCUCUGUUGUAAGAGAAGAACGAGUGGGAGAGUGGAAAGUUCACACUGUGACGGUAUCUUAACAGAAAGGGACGGCUAACUACGUG